rnacentral:lncRNA from 1 species
GGAUAUAUAUAUUUAACAUCCAUAUUAAAAUCGAAUACAGAUACGGAUAUCUAUAUAUAUUAGCACUUUAUCCGAAUAUGAAUAAUUCAGAUCUCCAGACAUCUGAAUCCAUCUCUAUUUUUUGCGGACCUUUUUCAAAAUAUAACUCAACAUAUUUUUCUACUACCUUGACACCACCAAAGACCAAGCUUGUUUGGUUGGCACCCUGGCCUAGAAGCACCGGCCAGGCAGCCCAAUCCAGCACCAGGCAUCCAAAAUCGAAUGCCUGAGAUUGAUGCUUGAGAAACAAGCUCUAUGUUCCAAAACUCCUCACUUUCAUUCAUAGAACUAUCAUUAUCACUUCCGUACAUCUGCAUACAAAAUGGGUAGAAUGCAUGCUGAAAUUAGUAGAACACAUGCUAAACUUAGACAUAGAUCAAAAAAAAAUUGAGUCAAAAUUACACAUAGAUCAAACAAAGUCAAAUAACACAUACUAAAUGAGUAUGUGAAAAAAAAAAUUACACAUAGAUCCAUGGGACAAACAUGGGAAGGAGGAUAAACUCAUGAAAUGUUGUGUGCGUGAGGGAAAGAACGAAGUACGUAGAAGAGUCGGGAAAAUGUAAGAAAGGAAUUGUAAUUCUUCAAAAUAAUUAAGCUGUGAAUAUACUCCACAUAUAUAUAUCGCUUUAAUUAUAAACAGUCCAAACAGCGUGUGGCUUGUCGAGUUGGCUCCGAUCGACAUCGUGUCUGCUGAUCGAUCGAGCACGUUCUCCAUCACGCAUGCGGGAUGGGCCUCCGCUAGGUUGCUGUUGCAGUGUCGUUGCCAUAGGGCCCACAGCAUUUAUAAUUUGUCAGAUGCAUGCUGCGACGAUCGACUCGUGCGCGUCCAUGGACGCACCUUUCGUUAUCGUUUCACGCGCGCCCUAGCUGCUAGCUUGUCCUCCUCCCUCCCUCCCUCGAGGAAGACGACACGUACGAACGUGGAUACGGUGGUCCCGCUCCUCUAGGGCCACUUGUGUACGUACACGCAGACGCAGACGCAGCGCAGGCGUCGGUACGUGCACGUGCUGCUAUAUACGCCACUCAUAACAGUAAUAUACGACGACGCACAGUACAUGCGACGAGAUCAGUGGGCCAGCCCCAACCGUGAGUGAGAAUCAGGGCUGGAAACGAGCCGAGCCGAGCUCGGCUCGGCUCGGCUCGGUGCGGCUCGGUGACUGUACGAGCUCGGCUCGGCUCGGCUCGUCCAUUUUACGAGCUGGCGAAGGAGGCUCGGCUCGGCUCGACCUUGGCUCGCGAGCCAUAUUCUGGUACUUAUCGUUGCAUUAUUUGGUGAAUUAACAUUAUAUAUUCAUCAUCAAAGACUAAAAAAUGAGGUAUUAUCCAUAAAAUUAUCUAAUAUUCAUUAUUAUUCCAUAAAUUGAUCAUUUUUGCAAGGCUCGCGAGCCGGCUCGGCUCGCUACAAAAACGAGCUCGAAUAAGAGGCUCGGCUCGGCUCGCGAGCCGCUCCGAGCCGAGCCGCUCCGAGCCUCGAGCUAAUUUUCCAGCCCUAAGUGAGAUGGUACCCUUUGUCCCUCCUCCGUCCCUAAAUAAAAAAAAAAAUCUGAGAGAUCUCAAGCCAGCCUUUUUUUUAUCUUAACUAAAUGUAUAAUUAAAUAUACCAUAAAACAUAUUUACAUAACACUAUUUGGUCCCAUAAAUGUUUGUAUCCUGUUAUUUAAAUUUAGUCAAACAUAAAAAAAUGAGUUAAGAUAACUUUAGAUUCAACUGAAGGGUGAAAGAGUAAUAAGUUAAUCGGACAUACUAGCUGUUGCAGUACAAGGGGUUCUUGAAGGAAAAGUUGUAACCCUCGUGGUCACGGAGAUCACAUACUAUAAAGGCGGAUCUAGAUUAUCUCUAGUGGAUCUUGUUGAAAAAUUAACAUGGUCUAAGAUUAAUUUGAUAAUGCAGUAUAAAACAAAAAACACAUAUCUACUGAUAGAUACUAUCUAUGACAUUAGAACAGAAUAGGUCAAAACUAACUCAACAAAAUUAACACAUAAAAGAAAAAUCGACAACGGAUCUAACCAUAAGACCGUCAAUAAACUGAAAAUGCAGAUUUACUUACAGUGAUUUCCACGAGAGUUGGAGAGGAAGUCGAAAGGAUGUGUGCGAAACACUUUCUAGAAACCUGAUUUGCUGACACCCAUGGAGGUCAUCAAAAUGCCGACGAUGGUUCGAAGACACCGCUCUUCCUUGAUCUGUUGCACGGUAGACGAAAGGGAUGGUAGGACAAAGAAGCGGUGGCGCAGAUAAUUAAGAAGAAGAGGACGAGUCGGUUGUUGUUUGCGUCUGUCCUCCGACUGAAAGACGUCUGCCUUUUAUAGAAGGGCGUCAUAACCUCCCUUGAUUCAAUCUGCUAAAUUCCAGGAAUCACUCCCUGGAAUAUCUCUACGUGCAACCGUCCAGAGAUCUCGCACGUAACGUGUGUACCCAUUACUCCCGGUUGACGUGACAGUCUAGGUGUGAUAUUUGAUAACCAAUUAAACAAAAGACAAAUU